rnacentral:lncRNA from 12 species
GCAGAAUCAGGAGUAUGUGUUUCAUUGAUCAGGUGUUCUGUUCCUGGUGCUCAGAGUACAGAGAGCUCAGCUGGAAGGGCUGAGGACCAUGUCCCAGGAAAGUGCAUGCCCAUCCCAUGGGUAAUUUGAGAAACUGAGGACCAUGAAGAGCAGGGGGACUGAGGAGCUGGAAGAUCAUGUCCCAGCUGCUGCAGAAUCUGGGACAGCUCUGCCAAACUUAAUCUGUCAGCUAAAGCCUC